rnacentral:rRNA from 1 species
GACAGAGGGGGCAAGCGUUGCUCGGAAUUACUGGGCGUAAAGGGCGCGUAGGCGGGAUGGCAAGUCGGUCGUGAAAUCCCUCGGCUCAACCGAGGAACGUCGAUCGAUACUGCUGUUCUUGAGGAUUGCAGAGGAGACUGGAAUUCCCGGUGUAGCGGUGAAAUGUGUAGAGAUCGGGAAGGAACACCGGUGGCGAAGGCGGGUCUCUGGCAAUUCCUGACGCUGAGGCGCGAAAGCUAGGGGAGCAAACAGG